rnacentral:tRNA from 2 species
GCCGACGUAGCUCAGAGGCAGAGCAGCUCACUCGUAAUGAGCAGGUCGCGGGUUCGAUUCCCAUCGUCGGCUCCA